AGGAUCAACGCUGGCGGCGUGCCUAAUGCAUGCAAGUCGCACGGGGGUCCCUUCGGGGAUCUCACGUGGCGGACGGGUGAGGAACACGUGGGCAAUCUGCCCCGAGGAGGGGGAUAGCUUCCGGAAACGGGAGGUAAUUCCGCAUGAGCUCGCUUUCCGCGUGGGGAGAGUGAGGAAAGGGUGCAAGCCCGCUUGGGAGGAGCCUGCGGCCGAUUAGCUAGUUGGUGGGGUAACGCUCACCAAGGCAACGAUCGGUAGCUGGU
rnacentral:rRNA from 1 species